GACGAGGGGUCCUAGCGUUGUUCGGAAUCACUGGGCGUAAAGCGUAUGUAGGCGGGCUUCUAAGUCAGGUGUGAAAUCCCAUGGCUCAACCAUGGAAUUGCAUUUGAAACUGGAAGUCUUGAGUGUGGGAGAGAUUGGUAGAAUACCUAGUGUAGUGGUGAAAUACGUAGAUAUUAGGUGGAAUACCGGUGGCGAAGGCGGCCAAUUGGCCCAACACUGACGCUGAGAUACGAAAGCGUGGGGAUCAAACAGG
rnacentral:rRNA from 1 species